rnacentral:misc_RNA from 1 species
GAUGAAGAACGUAGCGAAAUGCGAUAAGUAAUGUGAAUUGCAGAAUUCAGUGAAUCAUCGAGUCUUUGAACGCACAUUGCGCCCCCUGGUAUUCCGGGGGGCAUGCCUGUCCGAGCGUCAUUGUUGCCCUCAAGCACGGCUUGUGUGUUGGGCCUCCGUCCUCCUCCCGGGGGACGGGCCCGAAAGGCAGCGGCGGCACCGCGUCCGGUCCUCGAGCGUAUGGGGCUUCGUCACCCGCUCUUGUAGGCCCGGCCGGCGCUUGCCGACACAUCAAUCUUUUUUCCAGGUUGACCUCGGAUCAGGUAGGGAUACCCGCUGAACUUAAGCAUAUCAAUAAGCGGAGGA